CUUGGACAUGCAUUGCACAGAGCAGAACACAGGAGAGCCACCGGGUGCAAGGUCUGUAGAGGUUAAAAUUUGAUCACCAAGUUUGAAAGCAGAGCCUAGUGAGACGUGUUUGGGUCAUGGGAGCAGAUCCCUCAUGAAGAGAUGAAUGCCCUCUCCCAGAGCGUCUGCCUCCUGUGCCUCCUCUUUCCCUGUUGUGUGGCUAACACCAGACCCCAGUCUCUUCAGUGGCACUCAACUUUUUCAAGUCACAAGAUGGAAGCAUUUUGGAAGAGGAGUAAAGGACCCGGACUCUGAUACCAUGCCACCACAAACUCGAGCAGGCACUUCAAAGCAGAGAGUCUCAUUUUCCACUUCUGAAAAUCACAUGGUCUAGAUGAGCUCUAAGUCCUUCGUACUCAAUAAUUUC